rnacentral:rRNA from 1 species
UACGUAGGGUGCGAGCGUUUAAUCGGAAUUACUGGGCGUAAAGCGUGCGCAGGCGGUUUUGUAAGUCUGUCGUGAAAUCCCCGGGCUCAACCUGGGAAUGGCGAUGGAGACUGCAAGGCUAGAGUUUGGCAGAGGGGGGUAGAAUUCCACGUGUAGCAGUGAAAUGCGUAGAGAUGUGGAGGAACACCGAUGGCGAAGGAAGCCCCCUGGGUCAAGAUUGACGCUCAUGCACGAAAGCGUGGGGAGCAAACAGG